UACGUAGGGUGCGAGCGUUGUCCGGAAUUAUUGGGCGUAAAGGGCUCGUAGGCGGUUUGUCGCGUCGACUGUGAAAACCCAUGGCUCAACCAUGUGGUCUGCAGUCGAUACGGGCAGGCUAGAAUUCGGUAGGGGAGACUGGAAUUCCUGGUGUAGCGGUGAAAUGCGCAGAUAUCAGGAGGAACACCGGUGGCGAAGGCGGGUCUCUGGGCCGAUAUUGACGCUGAGGAGCGAAAGCGUGGGGAGCGAACAGG
rnacentral:rRNA from 1 species